rfam:Schistosoma mansoni, Puerto Rico, WGS project CABG01000000 data, contig: 0178
AUCCAACUGAUCAGUCCAAAAUAGGACGAAACGCGCAUCCUGAAU